rnacentral:lncRNA from 1 species
ACGCUUUGUGGUUGGCGGCGGUUUUUUCAAAUCGGAAUCUCUUGUUAUGGUUGCGACAAUAGAGGUUCCUCGUGUUUAUUGGCGGUUGGUCUUCUAUACGCUUUUAUAAUAAUAUUAUGUAUUUUUCCUUUUUUUAAUAUAUUUUUUUAGUAAUUUUUACGCAUUUUUUGUUAUUUUAAAUUAUUUUUAUGUCACUUUUCAAUAAAAAUAUUUACUCUUUUAUAUGUAAUACUAUUACAAGAUGUAUUGGAAUUUUUCUCCAUCAUUUUUUCUAUUUUUAUAAUAAUUUUCAUAUUUUUUAGUAUUUCAUUAAGUAUUUUUCGUUUUUAAAUAAAAAUAUAUAAAAAAAAAUUUUUGUAAAAAAUAUCAUUUACAAUGUUUAAUAGUCAUUUUAAAAUAUAUUAGCCAAGUUGUAGUUUGGUUUGUGCUAUUUGGUGUUGUACAAGUCUAUUACGAUUCUCUGGCCAAAACAUGUCUACUCUUGAAACUUGGGUUUUUGUUUCUUUAAGCAUAUAUAAGGGGGGUGGAGGUGUUGAGAGGCACCUCAGGUGCUUGCUGCCAAGAAGGGGCGGGCAUGCAUGGGGGACGAUGGCAUGGGGCGUAGGCAUUGGGGGCAUGCACGGCUUGUCCAUGCUACGUCCUCGAUGUUCCCAAAUCGCGCCGACAAGUACUCGUGUGGGCUUUUAGUACGCCUGGUGGUGGCACUGCUCGUGGAAAACAUUGGCUUUUGGCAAAGAACGGUGGAGCGUCAUGCAAGUAGCGCCGCGAGGUGCCGUGCGCAUCGGGCGAAGCUCAGUACUUGUUGAUCGCCAUUGGAUGUUUUGGGAAAAAUCGGGAGGCGACAUCGCUCGUGGCGGCUAAUGGCUUUUGACAACAAAAAAGAAAAGCGUCGUGCAAGUAGCGCCGCUAGGUGCUGUGCGCAUGAGGCGGAGUUUAGUAAGUUGUUGAUUGCCAUUGGUUGUUGUGGGUUCUGUCUGGAAUCUCUCGUGGCGGCUGAUUGCUUUCGACAACGAACGGCGGAGUGUCGUGCAAGUAGCGCCGCAAGGUGCCGUGCGCAUGGGGCGAAGCACAGUAGAUGUCGAUAUUGCGGGCAACAUCGCUCAUAGCGGUUGAUGGAUUUCGACAAUGGAAUGGCGGAGCAUCGUGCAAGUAGCGCCGCAAGGUGCCGUGCGCAUGGGACGAAGCUUAGUAAGUUGCCUAUUGCCAUCGAUUGUUGUGGGUUGUGUCAGUAAACCCCCCUCCGUGGCGGCUUAUUGCUUUUGACAACGAACGGCGGAGCUUCGUGCAAGUAGCGCAAGGUGUCGUGCGCACGGGUGAAGCUCAGUAGAUGUUUAUUGCCAUCGGUUGUUGCGGGAAGCAUAAGGAGGCGACAUUGCUAGGCAGCAUCACUCAUGGAGGUUGAUGGCUUUCGAAAAUGGAACGGCAGAGCGUUGUGCAAGUAGCGCCGCAAGGUGUCCUGUGCAUGGGGCGAAGCUUAUUAAGUUGCUUAUUUCCAUCGAUUUUUGUUGGUUGUGUUUGUAAACCCCCCUCCGUGGUGGCUUUUGUCUUUUGACAACGAACGGCGGAGCAUCAUGCAAGUAGCGCCGCAAUGUGUCGUGCGCACGGGGCAAAGCUCAGUAGAUGUUAAUUGCCAUCGGUUGUUGCAGGAAACAUCGGGAGGCGACAUCGCUCGUGGCGGUUGAUAUCUUUAGGCAACAAAAUGGCAAACCAUCGUGCAAGUAGCGGCGCAAGGUUCCAUGCACACGGGGCGAAGCUUAGUAUGUUGCUGGUUGCCAUCGGUUGUUGCGGGCAACAUCGGGAGGCGACAUCGCUCGUGGCAGCUGAUGGUUUUUGGCAACAAAGUGGCAAAACAUCGUGCACGUAGCGCCGCAAGGUGCUGUGCGCACGGGGAAAAGCUUAGUAAGUUGCCGAUUGUCAUCGGUUGUUGCGGGAUGAAUUGGGAGGCGAAAAUCGCUCGUGGCGGCUGAUGACUUUUGCCAACAAAUGGCAAAGCAUCGUGCAAGUAGCGCCGCAAGGUGCCGUACUCACGGGUCGAAGCUUAGUAAGUUGCUGAUUGCAUCAGUUUUUGCAGGAAACAUGCUCGUGGCGGCUGAUGGCCUUUCGCAAUGGAACGGCAAAGCAUCGUGCAAGUAGCGCCGCAAGGUUCCAUGCGCAUGGGGCGAAGCUUAGUAAAUUGCCUAUGGCCAUCGAUUGUUGUGGGUUUUGUCUGGCAUUGUUCAAACCCCCUAUUCGUGCUUUACGGGGCUUGACUUGGCUUUGCAAUGUUGGCAUCGGCGACAACACAUGGAUGUGCGUCACAUGGGUGGUGUUCGGCUUCUGUGGCUAGGUUGGAUACCUGCUCGAUCAGCGACGUCCUAGCUCGCAUGCCAUCUCAAUCAUGUCACAAGCGCAAAUUAGGCUUGUUCGACGUUGGUUUCUGUGUUUCAUACCUAAUGCCAAGGCAUUAUUAAGCACAACUGGUCGCAUUUCUCCCUCGCGUUUGACGUGCGUGGAGAACCAAAAGGUGCAUUUGUGUCUCAGGUCAUCCUGGCUUCGCCUUGCGAUGGCCUUGUCCACGACUUAGCAUGCUCGGGCUCUCAGAUUAGGUAAACGCAAUGGGCACGGGCCCUUCAUUAGCUCCUAUCAGCCAAAAGAAUGCUCCUUACGAAUGAUGGUCGUGCUCGCCUUGGACUUAGUCGUGCCCUUUUGGGUCGUCCACGCACAUGCAAAACAGACGUCAGUGAGGAAUACUACCCUGCCAGUAGUCAUAUGCUUGUCUCUAAGAUUAAUCCAUGCAUGUGUAAGUAUGAAAAAAUUCAGUCUGUGAAACUGCGAAUGGCUCAUUGAAUUAGCUAUAGUUUGUUUGAUGGUAUCUACUACUCAGAUAACCAUAGUAAUUCUAGAGCUAAUACGUACAACAAACCCCAACUCUUGGAAGGGAUGCAUUUAUCAGAUAAAAGGUCGACGCGUGCUCUGCCCGUUGCUGCGAUGAUUCGUGAAAACUCGACGGAUUGCACGGCCAUCUUGCCGGCGAUGCAUCAUUCAAAUUUCUGCUCUAUCAACUUUUGAUGGUAGGAUAGUGGCCUACUGUUAGACCCCUAAUAUUGACUUGACGAAUGUCGGGUAGAAUUCAUGUCAAAGGGCUUGUGCAUUUCCCCUUGACAUGGCUUCGUUAAAGUGUAGCAAAGGCAUGGACAUAGGCAAGGCAGCUGGAGUGUUGGCAAGGCGGCCUUGGUUCGUAGGCAUCGGCAAAUGGCAAAUGGAAGCAUGGCACUUGAUAAAGGCAUGCGCGGAUUGGUGGGACGACUUAAUUCAUAGCAGGGCGUGGCAAUGAAAUUAAGAGCGAGGCAAGGUCCAAGGAAAAGCUGGGCUUGAGACAAAAAAAACGUGGGCAAUGCUAGAGGCCAUCGUGCAUUGCAUGUGACGAAGUGGUGUACAAGACAUGUGCUUCAAAGUAUAAGACGUGGUAGCAAUUGCUCGUAUCCGCUUAAGGCAUGUACAUGGCACAUGGUAGAAAUUGUCCCUUUGUAACUGCCCUUUUGUAGCUGCCAUUGGCAGCCCUUUUAUAUAGAUUGUAUCUUCGUUUAUGGAGAAAGCAAGUAGCAUUACAUAUGUGAGCCAAGUCUAAAAUGAGAGUCCUUUGUAUUUUCUGCGAAGAUUAAUAAAGGUUGGGUUUUACAUUUAAAUUCCGUGUGUGUUCUUAGUUUGGCUAAAGUCAGAAAAUUCAAAGUCAGGCUGUGUGUGUGCGAAAAAGUGAAGGCUGAGUGGAUGUGAGUGCCGCUGCCAUGCAGUGUCUAUUUUUGCUAAAAAGUAGCCAUGUAACACCUACCAUGGUGGUGGCGGGUUACAGAGCUUUUGUUGUAACUCUUGAUCAUGGCGCGUGGGUCUACUUCAGACUUACGUCAUAGAGUGCAACGAUUUGAGGCGCUAAUCGGCGUGACCGAUGAUCCAUUAGAUAUGGCAGAUCUGAUUACAGAGAUUUACCGUUUGAAGUAUGGGGCGGAUCAGUUUCGCGAUGGGAUCCAACAAAUUUGUGAGUCAACGGAUGGCGUAGUUGAAGACUUGAAGACAGAGGUCGAAAACUUGAAGGCUGAAAUCACUGUUCUUCGACGGGCGUUGGCUGUUCCAAGCCAAGGCAAUGAAGAAAUCUUAAGGGUAAAGAUUCCUGAUCCAAAGGCGUUUGGUGGAACGCGUAGUGCAAAAGAAUUUGAAAAUUUUCUGUGGGACAUGGAACAAUAUUUCGUGGCUGCCAAAGUUCCAAAUGCGGAGAAGGUCACAAUUACUAGCAUGUUCCUAACGGGAGAUGCUAAAUUGUGGUGGAGAACUCGUGUGGAGGAUGAUGAAAGUGUAGGCAGGUCGAAAAUCGAUACAUGGGAGAAACUCAGAAAACAAAUGGAUGACAAAUUCAUGCCUUGCAAUUCAUCUUGGCUUGCUAGAGACCGUUUGAAACGCUUGCGGCAAACAACACCCAUUCUAGAUUAUUUUAAGGAAUUCACUUCCUUACUGCUGGAUAUUCAAAACAUGUCGUAGGACGACAAAUUACAUAACUUCAUUUCUAGAAUGCAAGCAUGGGCACAGAAUGAACUUAGGAGACAGACCGUGAAGGAUCUCCCAAGUGCCAUUGCUGCAGCGGAUUCCUUGGUGGAUUAUCGAAAACUCGUACUCUUUCUGACAUUCAUUAUACUUCAAAACCUAAGAAAUAGGUGGAGAAGAAAGGGGAAUGGAGGAAGGAAGUUCGAAAAUAAGUUGUUGAAAAGGGAAAGGCUGUUGAUGGGGCUAUUCAAAACAAAGGCGUCGCAAACAGGAAAACUGAUGGUUGCUGGACGUGCGGAGGACCUCUUCUUGCCAAGAACUGUCCGAAUCGAGGGCGGGUAAAUGCUUUGCUUGCAAGAGAAAAUAAUCGGGAUGGAGAAGGCCAAGAAGUUGUUUCUUCCUUAGUAAAUCCUUUGCAAUUGCUGAAUGCUAUCUCGUUGGUGAAUGCUACAGGUAAGGAGACGAACCCUCAUUCCUUGUUGAUGCACAUCGAAAUGAGAAUUGUGGAAAAAAGUGUGAUAGCUAUGGUAGAUACUGGCGCUACUCACACCUUUGUUUCUACAAACUUGGUGCAUAAGUAUAGAUUGAGAGUGUCAAAAUGUCCCUCUUACGUGAAGACUGUGCAUACCAUAGCACAAGCCAUUGAGGGUAUGGCUUAUGAUGUUCCUAUGUCUGUUAGGGACUGGAAAGGGAAGGUGAAUUUGAUGGUGAUUCACAUGGAAGGGUUUGAGGUGAUCCACAGAAUUGACUUCAUGCGGAAGCAUCACUUUAUUCCAAUGCCUCACUUGGACGGAGUGAUGAUCAUGAAUGAUACGGCUCCUGUUUUUUUGAAAGCUGUUAAUCCUUAUGGAAUAGAAGAAACUCAGCAGAAGGGUUCGUUAAUUUCUUCCAUGAUGGUUGAAAAGGGUUUGAAGAUGGGAGAUGAGACUUUCCUUGCUGCUGUGGUUGAAGUGAAGCCCGAUGUUAAGGUUGAAGUGCUGGACUGCGUUGCUCAAAUUUUUAGUGACUUUGCUGAUGUGAUGCCACCGGAGUUGUCUAAAAAUCUGCCACCACGGAGGGCAAUACAUCACAAGAUAGAGUUGAUGCCGGUUUCGAUGCCUCCUACUCAACCUCCUUAUCGUAUGGCACCGAAGAGUUGGCUGAAUUGCAGAAAAAAUUGAACGAGGUUCUUGAUGCGGGGCUGAUUCAGCCAUCUAAAGCUCCUUUUGGUGCACCUGUCUUAUUUCAAUAGAAACAGGAUGGGACGCUACGUAUGUGUGUUGAAUAUAGUGCGCUGAACAAGGUGACGCUGAAAAUAAAUAUCCUGCUCCCCUGGUGCUGGACUUCAUGGACAGAUUGAGCAAAACAUGCUGGUUCACGAAGCUUGAUUUAGGGUUUGGUUAUUGGCAGGUACGGAUAGCUGAAGGUGAUGAGUCUAAGACUACUUGUGUUACGAGGUAUGGCUCAUAUGAAUUCCUUGUUAUGCUGUUCGGAUUGACAAAUGCCCCUGCUACGUUUUGCAACCUCAUGAAUGAUGUGCUGUAUGAGUACUUAGAUGACUUUGUCGUUGUCUACUUAGACGACAUUGUUAUCUAUAGUCGGAAUUUGGAUGGACAUAUGUCACACUUGAUAAAAGUGUUGUCUCGGUUGAGGGAGUACAAGCUGUAUGUGAAAAUGGAGAAGUGUGAAUUUGCUAAACAUGAGAUCAAAUUUCUUGGGCACUUGGUGAGCCAAAAUCAGAGGCGGAAUAAUGCCCCUGCUACAUUUUGCAACCUAAUGAAUGAUGUGCUGUAUGAGUACUUAGAUGACUUUGUCGUUUUCUACUUAGACGACAUUGUUAUCUAUAGUCGGAAUUUGGAUGAACAUAUGUCACACUUAAUAAAAGUGCUGUCUCGGUUGAGGGAGUACAAGUUGUAUGUGAAAAUGGAGAAGUAUGAAUUUGCUAAACAGGAGAUCAAAUUUCUUGGGCACUUGGUGAGCCAAAAUCAGGUGCGGAUGGACCUGAACAAGGUGCAGGUCAUUGUGGAGUGGCAGGCACCUAAAUCUGUGAAAGAAUUAGGAUCUUUCCUCGGGUUGGCUAACUAGUAUCGUAAAUUCGUUACCGGUUACACAAAGAAAGCUGCUCCUUUGACGGAUUUGUUGAAGAAGAACGUUAAAUAGAAUUGGUCGGAAAGAUGUUGUGCAGCAUUUGGUGUGUUGAAAGAAACCAUUGCCUCAAAAUCAAUCUCGCGGCUUGCUGAUUUUGAGUUUCCGUUUGAAGUCCAUACAGAUGCAUCCGACAAGGCUGUUGGAGGCGUGCUGGUUCACGAAGGUCAUCCUUUGGCAUUCGAAAGCAGAAUGCUGAAUGACGCAGAGCAAAGGUAUUCGACUCAUGAGAAAGAAAUUGUUGUUGUUGUUCAUUGCAUACAAAUAUAGCAUGUUUACAUGUUGGGAGCAAAGUUCGUCGUAGGGACGGACAAUGUGGCAGAUACUUUCUUCAAAACUCAGAAGAAAUUGAGUCCAAAGCAAGCACGUUGGCAGGAAUUUUUUGCAGAAUAUGAUUUUGUGUGGGAGCAUAAGUCGGGAAAGCACAACCAAGUUGCGGAUGCCUUGAGUCAAAAGGAAGUCUUUGCUGCUAUUUAUUCCACUACGAGACUUGAGUCAGAUUUUGUUGAUAAAAUCAAGUCGGCUGCUAUGAAUGAUCCAUUGUACAUAAAGACAAUAAAUCAUGUGACAGAAGGUACUGUGCGACGGUACUGGAUCAAGGACAAUCUUCUCCAUUUCAAAGGGGGGAGAAUUGUGGUACCACUUGGUGACGUACUGCGUCGUGAGGUGUUGAAAGAGACGCAUGAUACACUUUAGGCAGGUCAUCCAGGCAUUACGAGGACGAUGGCGCUGCUGUCGCGAUAUUAUUUCCGGCCACUUAUGGAACAGGACGUUGAAGCUUAUGUGAAAGCAGUCUUAUUUGUCAACUUGAUAAAAUUUAACGCAAGAAAGAAGCGGGGUUGUUGCAACCUUUUCCAAUUCCUGAAGAGACGUGGCAAUCCGUUUCAAUGGAUUUUAUCAGCAGGUUUCCUAAAGUAGAUGGUCUAUCUUUGAUUAUGGUGGUGGUUGACAGGUUUUCUAAAUACGCUGUCUUUAUAGCUGCUCCAACAGAAUGUCCCUCUAAAGUUGCUGCAGAAUAGUUUUUUAAGCAUGUGGUGAAAUAUUUCGGUAUGCCAGAGGAUGUUAUAAGUGAUCGGGAUGCAAGGUUCAGAGGUAGGUUUUGGACUUACUUGUUCAACUUGCUGGGUACAAAUUUAAAGUUUUAAACGGCAAACCAUCCCCAAACAGAUGGCCAAACCGAACGAAUCAAUCAUCUGCUAGAAGAGUACUUGAGGCAUUUCGUGACUGCGAGUCAAAGAAAUUGGGCCGAGUUAUUAGAUUGUGCACAGAUGUCUUACAACUUGCACAAGUCUUCAUCCUCGGAGAAGAGUCCAUUGGAGAUCGUUUUGGGCAGGCAGCCAAGACUACCUACGAAGAUGGUACAGCAAAAGACUUAAAUUGGGCCGAGUAAUUAGAUUGUGCACAGUUACAAUUUGCACAAGUCUUCAUCCAUGGAGAAGAGUCCAUUGGAGAUCGCUUUGGGCAGGCAGUCGAGACUACCUACGAAUAUGGUACAGCAAAAGACUAGUGGGAAAUGUUCUGCGGUAUAUCGUUAUAAGUUUGAUAGCUAAAUGAUGAUGGAUGAAGCUGCAGACAGUUUAAAAGUGGCACAAAAAUGCAUGAAGAAAUAUGCAUAUCAGCAUAGGCGGCAGUUAGAGUUCAAAGUGGGCGACAAGGUAUUGCUGAAACUUACUCCGCAAAUUUGGAAAAAGAUAGACAAUAGGGUAAGGCAUAGAGCCUUGGUUGCGAGAUAUGAUAGUCCGUUCGAAGUGGUUGAGAAGGUAGGCGAAUAUGCUUAUCGGUAGAAGCUUCCAGAAAGAAUGAAGAUUCACCCUACUUUCCAUGUGAGUUACUUGCGGCCUUAUAUGGGAGAUCCUGAAUAUCCGGAUAGGCACAAAAUCAAGAAAGCUCCUCCUGAACUACGCAAUCAGAUUGAGGACGAGAUUGAGAAAAUUCUGGACCACCGGAUACUUGGGAUGUACAAAACAAAUAGGUGAACAGAAUUUUUGGUUCAAUGGAAAGGCAAGCCCGAGUCAGAUGCAACUCGGGAGAAAAGGAAUUCAUUAUGGCAGUUCGACGAUCAAAUCGAGGACUACAUGAGAUUAACCUCGACGAGGGCGUCGAGUUCAACUGGUGAGAGUGGUUCUUUAGACCCCUAAUAUUGACUUGAUGGAUGUCGGGUAGAAUUCAUGUAAAGGGCAUGUGCAUUGCCCCUUCACAUGGCUUCGUUGAAGUGUUCUCAAGCAAUGUACAAGGCUGGGCUUAUGUCUAAGUUGGUGAUGGACUUUGGCAAGGCAGAUAGGCAAGGCAGCUGGAGUGUUGGCAAGGUGGCCCCUGUUCGUGGACAUCGGCAAAUGGCAAAUGGAAGCAUGGCACUUGAAAAAGGCAUGCGCGGAUCGGUGGGACGACUUAAUUCAUAGCAGGGCGUGGCUAUGAAAUUAAGGGCGAUGCAAGGUCCAAGGCAAGGCUGGGCUGGAGAAAAAGAACGUGGGCAAAGCUGGAGGCAAUUAUGCAUGGCAUAUGACGAAGUGGUGUGCAAGGCAUGUGCUUGGAAGUUGAAGACAUGUGCCAAGGUGGAGACAAAGAAAACGUGGGCAAGACUAGAGGCCAUCGUGCAUGGAAUGUGACGAAGUGGUGCGCAAGACAUGUGGUUGGAAGUUGAAGACCUGAUCAAAAACAUGAUCAGUUGGCUACAAAGUGGAAGACGUUGUAGCAACUUCCUGUAGCCGCCUAAGGCAUGUACAUGGCACAUGGUAGAAACUGCCCUUUGUAACUGCCAUUGGCAGCCCCUUUAUAUAGAUUGUAUCUUCGUUUGUGGAGAAGGGAAGUAGCAUUACAUAUGUGACCCAAGUCUACAAUGAGAGUCCUUUGUAUAUUCUACGACAAUUAAUAAAGCUUGUGUUUCACCCAUAAAUUCUCUGUGUGUUCUUAGUUUGGCUAAAGUCUGAAAAUUCUAAGUCAGGCUGUGUGUGUGCGAAAAAGUGAAGGCUGAGUGGCUGCGAGUGGCGCUGCCGUGUAUUGUCUAUUUUUGCUAAAAAUUGGCCCUGUAACACCUACCAUGGUAGUGACGGGUGACAAAGAAUUAGGGUUCGACUCUGGAGAGGGAGCCUGUGAAACGACUACCACAUCCAAGGAAGGCAGCAGGUGCGCAAAUUACCCAAUCCUGACACGGGGAGGUAGUGACUAUAAAUAACAAUACCGGGCUUUAUGAGUCUGGUAAUUGGAAUUAGUAAAAUCUAAAUCCCUUAAGAAGGAUCCAUUGGAGGGCAAUUCUGGUGCCAGCAGCCUCGGUAAUUCCCGCUCCAAUAGCGUAUAUUUAAGUUGUGGUAGUUAAAAAGCUCGUAGUUGGACUUUGGGAUGGGCCGGCCGGUCCGCCUUCGGUAUGCACCGGUCGUCUCAUCCCUUCUGUCAAUGAUGUGCUCUUGGCCUUAAAUUGUCGGGUCGUGCCUACUGCGCUGUUACUUUGAAGAAAUUAGAGUGCUCAAAUCAAGCCUAUGCUCUGUAUACAUUAGCAUGGGAUAACAUUAUUGGAUUUUGGUCCUAUUACGUUGGCCUUUGGAAUCGGAGUAAUGAUUAAGAGGGACAUUCGGGGGCAUUCAUAUUUCAUAGUCAGAGGUUAAAUUCUUGGAUUUACGAAAGACGAACAACUGCGAAAGCAUUUGCCAAGGAUGUUUUCAUUAAUCAAGAACGAAAGUUGGGGGCUCGAAGAUGAUCAGAUACNNNNNNNNNNNNNNNNNNNNNNNNNNNNNNNNNNNNNNNNNNNNNNNNNNNNNNNNNNNNNNNNNNNNNNNNNNNNNCGACUGCGAAAGCAUUUGCCAAGGAUGUUUUCAUUAAUCAAGAACGAAUGUUGGGGGCUCGAAGAUGAUCAGAUACCGUGCUAGUCUCAACCAUAAACGAUGCCGACCAGGGAUCGGCGGAUGUUGCUUUUAGGAAUCCGCUGGCACCUUAUGAGAAAUCAAAGUUUUUGGGGGGAGUAUGGUUGCAAGGCUGAAACUUAAAGGAAUUGACGGAAGGACACCACCAGGAGUGGAGCAUGCGGCUUAAUUUGACUCAACACGGGGAAAUUUACCAGGUCCAGAUAUAGUACGGAUUGACAGAUUGAGAGCUCUUUCUUGAUUCUAUGGGUGGUGGUGCAUGGCCAUUCUUAGUUGGUGGAGUGAUUCGUCUGGUUAAUUCCGCUAAUGAACGAGACCUCAACCUGCUAAGUGGCUAUGCGUGGGUAUCCCUUUGCGUCCAGCUUCUUAGAGGGGGAUACGGCCGAUUAGGCCGCGGAAGUUUGAGGGAAUAACAGGUCUGUGAUGCCCUUAGAUGUUCUGACCCACAUGCGCGCUACACUGAUGUAUUCAACGAGUAUAUAGCCUUGGCCGACAGGCCCGCGUAAUCUUUGAAAUUACAUCGUGAUGGGGAUAGAUCAUUUCAAUUGUUGGUCUUCAACGAGGAAUUCCUAGUAAGCGCGAGUCAUCAACUCGCGUUGACUACGUCCCUACCCUUUGUACACACCGCCCGUCGCUCCAACCGAUUGAAUGAUCCGGUGAAAUGUUCGAAUCGCAGCAACAUGGGCAGUCUGAUCCCAGUGACGUCGCGAGAAGUCCAUUGAACCUUAUCAUUUAGAGGAACGAGAAGUCAUAACAAGGUAUUUGUAGGUGAACUUGCAGAAGGAUCAUUGUCGAAUUCUGCAAGGCAGAACGACCAACGAACUUGUUAAAAAUCUUGGGAGCGGUGCGGCCGGGAUGCUUCAACCUCCGUCCGCGCUGCUUCCUCCUAUAUUCCCGACGUGCGCGCUUGCAUGCGUGCCGGGUGAUUAAUGAACCCCGACGCGGAAAGCGCCAAGGAAUAAUUAAUUGAAAGCCAACCCCACGCGCCCCGUUCGCGGCGUGCACAGGGACUUGUGCUUCUUUGAAACACAAAUGACUCUCGGCAACAGAUAUCUUGGCUCCUGCAUCGAUGAAUAACGUAGAGAAAUGUGAUACUUGGUGUGAAUUGCAGAAUCCCGUGAACCAUCGAGUCUUUGAACGCAGGUUACGCCCGAGGCUAUUAGGCCGAGGGCAUGUCUGCCUAGGCGUCACGCAUCGCGUUGCCCCCGCGCACCGCGCCCAUUCUUAUGGUCGCGGUGCUGUCGUGGGACGAACACUAGCCUCCCGUGCGCCUCGAGCGUGCGGUUGGCCUAAAUUUGAAUCCACAGCGACGGACGUCAUGACAAGUGGUGGUUGAAACUCAACUCUCGUAAUGUCGUGGCUCAAACCCCUUGCAUGUUUGGGUUCCCGACCCUUAUCGCGCUUAGGAUCUCCGACCGCGACGCCAAGUAAGGCGGGACUACCCGCUAAGUUUCAGCAUAUCAAUUAGUGGAGGAAAAGAAACUUACAAGGAUUCCGCUAGUGACGGCGAGCGAACCGGGAACACCCCAGCUUUAGAAUCGGAUGGCUCCGUUGUCUGAAUUGUAGUCUGGAGAAGCGUCCUCAGCGGCGGACCGGGUCCAAGUCACCUAGAAGGGGGCGCCGGAGAGGGUAGGAGCUCUGUUGUGCACCGACCCUGUCGCACCACGAGGCGCUGUCUACGAGUCGGUUUCCAUGAAGCCCAUAACGGGCGGUGAAUUCCAUCCAAGGCUAAAUACGGGCGAGAGACCGAUAGCGAACAAGUACCGCGAGGGAAAGAUGAAAAGGACUUUUAAAAGAGAGUCAAAGAGUGCUUGCAAUUGUCGGGAGGGAAGCGGAUGGGGGCCGGCGAUGCACCGUGGUCGGAUUUGGAACAGUGUUAAGACGAUCCGCCGAUCGAUUUGGGGCGUGGACCAGCAUGGAUUGGGGGGCGGACAAAGCCCGGGCUUUUGAUACGCUCGUGGAACGGUUUCUCCUUAAUUGUGGUAGGCAGCGCACGCCUGUGGCGUGCUU